rnacentral:SRP_RNA from 1 species
CCGUGCUAGACGGGGAGACUGCGGUGCCCUGUAACCUGCAAUCCGCAAUAGCAGGGUUGAAUUCCUUUGCUGAGGCACUUGCUUGUGAGGACUGCCCCGGGCAAGUGGUGACGAUGAUUGGGUCCUGCGCAACGGAAAUUCAUGAACCCCGCCAGGUCCGGAAGGAAGCAACGGUAAGUGAACCCUUUCGUGUGCCGCAGGGUUGCCUGAUUGGAGCUAACUAUCCGGGUAACGCUUGUAGGUGCGUGUCGAAGGAAGGUGCACGG